rnacentral:rRNA from 1 species
UCGCAAUGCCCGAAAGGGUGACGAAGCGACGCCGCGUGAGCGAAGAAGGCCUUAGGGUUGUAAAGCUCUGUCGAGGGUUAUGAAAUAUAGAUAGGUUAAUACCUUAUCUAUUUGACAAAGGCCCAAAAGGAAGCCACGGCUAACUCUGUGCCAGCAGCCGCGGUAAUACAGAGGUGGCAAGCGUUGUUCGGUAUUAUUGGGCGUAAAGAGCACGUAGGUGGUUUUGUAAGUCAGAUGUGAAAGCCUUCUGUUCAAAGGAAGAACGGCAUCUGAAACUGCAGAACUUGAGUGUAAGAGGGGAGAGUGGAACUUCUGGUGGAGCGGUGAAAUGCGUAGAUAUCAGAAGGAACGUCGGCGGCGAAAGCGACUCUCUGGCCUAUUACUGACACUGAGUGUGCGAAAGUUAGGGGAGCAAACGGGAUUAGAUACCCCGGUAGUCCUAACUGUAAACGAUGGGCACUAAGUAGAGGGGU